AGGGCUCCGCGCAUGCAGGAAGACCACCCUAAGGGAAGAAUCAUGGGAAAGAGGCAGAAAAUUAAAACUGGAUUGCUACCUGGUGCUUCCAUACACUGAAAAGAAAGAACACUCCAAUCUGCCAGCCUUACGAUGUUGGGAAAACGCAUCAAACAGUGCUAAGGUUUUAAGCAUGGAGAAUAUAAUCCAGUUGUAAAGCUAUUAACCCAGAAAAGAUCAUACGCACUGCACUGGUUACAUGGAUUACAGCUGCAGACUUCUAACACAAAAUCCACACACAAGUACACGGACCCAGGUGGAGGCCUCAGCCCCUUAUUUCCUGCUUCUCUCCACUGUCUUAUUUUCAAGCUGCUACUGGUGCACCAUGAGAACCUGAUUUAAUACUAAGUGUCCAUACCAAAGCACCAUUCAACUCUGUGCCACCCACCAAGAAACAAGAGAGUUUUUACACAAUGGCUACUUGUAGAACCUCCGAACUACCUACAGAGUCCCCGUGGUGACAUGCUGUAAAGUACUCCGUAUUUGUUUCCACUAACUGGGUGAUUGAAAAUAAUAAAAAUUUAUUAUCUGA
rnacentral:lncRNA from 1 species